rnacentral:rRNA from 1 species
UACAGAGGGGGCAAGCGUUGUUCGGAAUUACUGGGCGUAAAGGGCGCGUAGGCGGCCUGUUAAGUCGAACGUGAAAUCCCCGGGCUCAACCCGGGAACUGCGUCCGAUACUGGCAGGCUUGAAUUCGGGAGAGGGAUGUGGAAUUCCAGGUGUAGCGGUGAAAUGCGUAGAUAUCUGCAGGAACACCCGUGGCGAAGGCGGCUGGCUGGACCGCAACUGACGCUGAGGAACGAAAGCUAGGGGAGCAAACAGG